CCAUUUCAGAGCUCAAAAUGCAAAGCAGUGCAUUCAUGCAUUAAGAACAAGAUCUUCCAACACUUCUGAAGGCACCAUUAAUGAGAACGAUGAUGAAAUAAAAGUCAAUUAAUCAUGGGAUAACUAAGAGUUGCUAGGCUGGUGCAACAGUGAAUAAAAUUAUUGUGAUUCUGGGGUGUAAGAGGACUUAAACCAGAAUUACAAGGGCCUAAAAUUCUAGGGAAGCUGUGUGUCUAUGGAGGAUGAGAGAUUAAAAAUAUCUUGUUGUGUCUAACCUACAUAAAAAAAAGGAGUCUUGAGAUGGGGAGAAAACUAUGGCAUGGCACUCAAAUCACUCCAUAGUCAUACAUGCAUCAGAGUUAUGUGUACAGCUUGACGUUUCCAGAGUCCAGAUGCCAGUCUUCCUGAAUGAUGCUUUCAGCACUGCCAUAAGGGCAUUUAUUUAUUUCCUUUGACUUUGCAGUCAGAUGUCCAUAAUUAUGUCUUAGAAUUAUGCAGACUGCCACCCCUCUUAAUAACUGCUCAAAAAGGGAAACGGAGGAAAAAAAUCCAACUAAAUGAACUUCCUUGAAAACUCUCAUCUGGAGUUUUGCACAUCAAGGCCAGGCUGGAUGUGACUGAGCAGACUGGUCUGGUGGUUGGCAACCCUGCACAUAGCAGGGGGGUUGAAACUCCAUGAUCAUUGUGGUCCUUUUCAACGCAGGCCAUUCUAUAUAUAAAGCAAAUUCUAUUUUUGGAGGAUAAGGUAGAUUUCCUUUGGCCAGAACUAAGCAAUACUGCAUUCCAUGUAAAGACAUGACGGGUACUGGAUUUACAAGUCUAGAAGGAUGAAUGAUUACAAUCAUAGAUGUCUGCUGAUGGAAAACAACGUGCAAUUGUUCCCUGGUAAGUCUAGCUCUGAUGGAAGAACAAGUGGAAGCAUGGAAGUUCAUCACCAUUUAUUUCCUGAUCUGGCUGUGAUAAAGACAAAAAACAGUCCACAUUUCACCUGUGAUUUUUCUACCUCUAUAUAAUCUUACAAUCUAAGAAUCUCUAUGUAAUCACACAAUCUCAGCCACAAAGACAAAGCCUUUACAAAAAUCUUUCAAGCAAAGGGUCAGUUAAGCCGUUAAAAUAGUCUGAUUUUAAUGAAUGAGGUCCCAGCUCUGUUCCACCUUGUUGUUCUUUUGGAUGAUCGAACUCAUGCUUACACAUAAGAUCGAAAGAAAGGAACUUGUUCUAGAUAUAGUUUUUUAUGUGAUGCAUGUACAUGAACAGAAGCUCAUUCACCAGGGGACACUGUACUGGAAGGGCAGAGUACAGACUGUAACUGAAAGGAAAAAUGUUUUUUCUCUGCUAUUCUUUAGUGAAUAAUGUGUUUUCAGUAGGUACUGAGUAGACAGUCCCAGAAGCUGUGUUCCAUACAGAGUGAAAACAUAAGGUGCUUGUGCAAAACGCCCAAAAUAUCUCAUAUGGGAAGGUCCACGUCUACAGUUGGUAUCGAAGACAGCUCCCAGGACUCAGUUUUUUUUUUUUGCCAUGCCCAGCUGUGAAGUAAGGUACUGUCUGAACCCUUCUUAGUUUCUGGCUCAAAGCUUGCUUUCCAAGGCAUUUCUUGCAGUAAGACUCUGACUUAUCUAGGAGAUGAGAAGUGGGUGUUGCUGUGUGGCAGUCGGCAUCACUAUGUGGGCAAUUUUACAUUUGAAAGCAUUUCUUUGGAAUGGUUUGCCUCUGGUAGAGAGUCAAAGGACUGCUCAGGACCGUUCACUGGUGGAAGAUCUGGCCUGUGACCAAAUAACUCCAGCUUGGUAUGAGAAAAUUGAGGAAUGAUACCAUAUUGUCCUGUGAAAAACAGGAUGCAGGUGGGCACCUCUCUGCUCCCUCUUAUCUGCUGGCAAGGCCCAGAAGACUGGAGCAAAGAAGUUUCUUCUGAGAUCCCAAAGCCAGAAGCUGCCACUCCAAAGAGAGCUGACUGUACAACUUUGGACUUAUAAAUAAGUUUGUACUGCCAUUGAAAAGUUUGUCAUCGUCAACCGAACAACAAUGCCAAAUGACCCACCACUACUGAAGAUCAACAUCUGAACUACGAACCAUGCUGGACCCAUGGUGGUGACUGCUUCUCUCUUGCUUCCUACAAAGUCUCCUUGCUUUUAUUUCCUAUCUUCCCUCCCCAGUCUCCCUAAACAACUAAGAUUUGUAAUAAACUGGUCGGG
ensembl:lncRNA